rnacentral:lncRNA from 1 species
AUACAUGUACAAAUAAAAAACAAUUUGAAAACCACUUUCAACCCAUUUUCAAUCCAAUUCAUUCAAAACAUACCAAGCUCAUUCAUUACAUGGUCAUAAAAUAUCCAAAAUAUGAAAAAAUUACAAAAUUAGGAAAGUUUGACCAAAUGUUGACUUUGGUCAACCGUUGACUUUUUGGUCAACUUUGACCAAAGUCAACCAAAGUCCCCAAAAACCUAAAUUCCCAUCUUAAACUCUAAUCCAUCAUUCCAUUGUUCAUGCUUGCUUGAUUCCAUCAUGAUUUCUUCAUUUGCUAGUUUAUCUUUGACCAACCAUGUUCAUGUCCAUG